rnacentral:rRNA from 1 species
GAUGAACGCUGGCGGCGUGCCUAAAACAUGCAAGUCGAGCGGUAAGGCCUCUUCGGAGGUACACGAGCGGCGGACGGGUGAGUAACACGUGGGAAUCUACCCCAAACUGAGGGAUAAGCACCGGAAACGGUGUCUAAUACCGCAUAUGGUCUUCGGAUUAAAGCUUCGGCGGUUUGGGAAGAGCCCGCGUAAGAUUAGCUAGUUGGUGAGGUAAAGGCUUACCAAGGCGACGAUCUUUAGCUGGUUUGAGAGGAUGAUCAGCCACACUGGAACUGAGACACGGUCCAGACUCCUACGGGAGGCAGCAGUUAGGAACUUUCCACAAUGGGCGCAAGCCUGAUGGAGCAACGCCGCGUGCAGGAUGAAGGCCUUCGGGUUGUAAACUGCUUUUAUACGUGACGAAUAUGACGGUAGCGUAUGAAUAAGGAUCGGCUAACUCCGUGCCAGCCGCCGCCGUAA